CAAGUUUGAUCCUGGCUCAGGAUGAACGCUAGCUACAGGCUUAACACAUGCAAGUCGAGGGGAAACGACAUCGAAAGCUUGCUUUUGAUGGGCGUCGACCGGCGCACGGGUGAGUAACGCGUAUCCAACCUGCCCACCACUUGGGGAUAACCUUGCGAAAGUAAGACUAAUACCCAAUGACGUCUCUAGAAGACAUCUGAAAGGGAUUAAAGAUUUAUCGGUGAUGGAUGGGGAUGCGUCUGAUUAGCUUGGUUGGCGGGGUAACGGCCACCAAGGCUACGAUCAGUAGGGGUUCUGAGAGGAAGGUCCCCCACAUUGGAACUGAGACACGGUCCAAACUCUAGGGAGCA
rnacentral:rRNA from 1 species